rnacentral:rRNA from 1 species
GGACUACAAGGGUAUCUAAUCCUGUUUGCUCCCCACGCUUUCGUGCCUCAGUGUCAGUGCUGGUCCAGGCAGUCGCCUUCGCCACAGAUGUUCCUCCCGAUCUCUACGCAUUUCACUGCUACACCGGGAAUUCCACUACCCUCUACCGCACUCUAGCCCGCCAGUAUCCAAUGCCAUUCCCAGGUUGAGCCCAGGGCUUUCACAUCAGACUUAACGAACCACCUACGCACGCUUUACGCCCAGUAAUUCCGAGUAACGCUUGCACCCUUCGUAUUACCGCGGCUGCUGGCAC